AAGAGAACGUUCUCCAAGGGACAGCAGAAGAUGGGUAAACUCAGCCUCAGCUUCUGCAAGUUCCUGAUGAAGUCGAGCUCUAGACACAUUUGCACCAUCAACUUUUUUCCGAGUUAAUCUUGUGGAAGAAGAAGUGGAAAAAGGUUAGGGAUACGAAGAGUGUGAAGGACUCAAUAAAUUGAUAAAGACAUUGGCGUUGGUGACUUCACAGCUUCAAGAGCUUCGAAGACAACUCUAAACCAACGAGUUAGCCCCUAAUAAGAUGUUGCUUCUUCAAUAGUAACAUGAUCCAAGCAAUGAAAUUACAAAGAAUUCCUAUUACAAACAGGCAGCCCAAGAAACAAAAUCCUCAAAAAUUCUCAACAUGUCUGUACAAAGCCUCCACAAUUAGAGAACUCAAGUGAUUGUGAAAUUACA